rnacentral:rRNA from 1 species
UACGUAGGGGGCUAGCGUUGUCCGGAAUCAUUGGGCGUAAAGCGCGUGUAGGCGGUCCGGUAAGUCCACUGUGAAAGUCGGGGGCUCAACCCUCGAAUGCCGGUGGAUACUGUCGGGCUAGAGUGCGGAAGAGGCGAGUGGAAUUCCUGGUGUAGCGGUGAAAUGCGCAGAUAUCAGGAGGAACACCAAUUGCGAAGGCAGCUCGCUGGGACGUUACUGACGCUGAGACGCGAAAGCGUGGGGAGCAAACAGG